GAGUUUGAUCCUGGCUCAGAAUCAACGCUGGCGGCGUGCCUAACACAUGCAAGUCGAACGAGAAUGUGUAGCAAUACACAUGUACAGUGGCGAACGGGUGAGGAAUACAUGGGUAACCUACCCUCGAGUGGGGAAUAACUAGCCGAAAGGUUAGCUAAUACCGCGUACGCUUCCCGGACUGCGGUUCGGGAAGGAAAGCGAUACCGUGGGUAUCGCGCUCUUGGAUGGGCUCAUGCCCUAUCAGCUUGUUGGUGAGGUAACGGCUCACCAAGGCUUCGACGGGUAGCUGAUCUGAGAGGAUGAUCAGCCACACUGGCACUGCGACACGGGCCAGACUCCUACGGGAGGCAGCAGUAAGGAAUAUUGCGCAAUGGGCGAAAGCCUGACGCAGCGACGCCGCGUGGAGGAUGAAGGCCCUUGGGUUGUAAACUCCUUUUGUCGGGGAAGAAAUGCGAUCAGGUGAACAAUCUGGUCGUUUGACGGUACCCGGCGAAUAAGCUCCGGCUAACUCCGUGCCAGCAGCCGCGGUAACACGGGGGGAGCAAGCGUUGUUCGGAAUCACUGGGCGUAAAGGGCGUGUAGGCGGUUGAGUAAGUGGGAUGUGAAAUGCCUCGGCUUACCCGGGGACCUGCAUCCCAAACUGCUCGGCUUGAGUACGGGAGAGGAUGAGGGAAUUCCUGGUGUAGCGGUGAAAUGCGUAGAUAUCAGGAGGAACACCGGUGGCGAAGGCGCUCAUCUGGCCCGAUACUGACGCUGAUGCGCGAAAGCUAGGGGAGCGAACGGGAUUAGAUACCCCGGUAGUCCUAGCCGUAAACGGUGAGCACUAGGUGUUGGAGGCAUCGACCCCUCCAGUGCCGCAGCUAACGCAUUAAGUGCUCCGCCUGGGGAGUACGGCCGCAAGGUUGAAACUCAAAGGAAUUGACGGGGGCCCGCACAAGCGGUGGAGCAUGUGGUUUAAUUCGACGCAACGCGAAGAACCUUACCCAGACUUGACAUGCAUUGGACAGGUGUGGAAACACACUCUCCCUUCGGGGCCGGUGCACAGGUGCUGCAUGGCUGUCGUCAGCUCGUGUCGUGAGAUGUUGGGUUAAGUCCCGCAACGAGCGCAACCCUUGUCCUUAGUUGCUAACGGGUAAAGCCGAGCACUCUAAGGAGACUGCCGGUGAUAAACCGGAGGAAGGUGGGGAUGACGUCAAGUCCUCAUGGCCCUUACGUCUGGGGCUACACACGUGCUACAAUGGCUGGCACAAAGGGUUCCGAUACCGCGAGGUGGAGGCAAUCCCAAAAAGCCGGUCUCAGUUCGGAUUGCAGUCUGCAACUCGACUGCAUGAAGUCGGAAUCGCUAGUAAUCGCUGAUCAGCAGGCAGCGGUGAUACGUUCCCGGGCAUUGCACACAC
rnacentral:rRNA from 1 species